rnacentral:rRNA from 1 species
UCUGGGAAACUGCCUGAUGGAGGGGGAUAACUACUGGAAACGGUAGCUAAUACCGCAUAACGUCGCAAGACCAAAGAGGGGGACCUUCGGGCCUCUUGCCAUCGGAUGUGCCCAGAUGGGAUUAGCUAGUAGGUGGGGUAAAGGCUCACCUAGGCGACGAUCCCUAGCUGGUCUGAGAGGAUGACCAGCCACACUGGAACUGAGACACGGUCCAGACUCCUACGGGAGGCAGCAGUGGGGAAUAUUGCACAAUGGGCGCAAGCCUGAUGCAGCCAUGC